rnacentral:SRP_RNA from 1 species
GCUGGAUGUGGUGGUAUGUGCCUGUCAUCCCAGCUACUUGGGAGGCUGAGGCAGGAGAAUUGUUUGAGCCCAGGAGUUCAAGGCUGCAGUGAGCUAUGAUGGUGCCACUGCAGUCCAGCCUGGGCAACAGAGCAAGACCCUGUCUCUA